UACGAAGGGGGCUAGCGUUGCUCGGAAUCACUGGGCGUAAAGCGCACGUAGGCGGAUUGCUAAGUCAGGGGUGAAAUCCUGGAGCUCAACUCCAGAACUGCCUUUGAUACUGGCGAUCUCGAGUCCGGGAGAGGUGAGUGGAACUGCGAGUGUAGAGGUGAAAUUCGUAGAUAUUCGCAAGAACACCAGUGGCGAAGGCGGCUCACUGGCCCGGUACUGACGCUGAGCCGCGAAAGCCAGGGGAGCGAACGGG
rnacentral:rRNA from 1 species